rnacentral:rRNA from 1 species
GACGAACGCUGGCGGCGGGCUUAACACAUGCAAGUCGAACGGAAAGGCCCUGCUUUUGUGGUGUGCUCGAGUGGCGAACGGGUGAGUAACACGUGAGUAACCUGCCCUUGACUUUGGGAGAGCUUCAGGAAACGGGGGCUAAUACCGGAUAGGAGCUGCUGCUGCAUGGUGGGGGUUGGAAAUUUUCGGCGGUUGUGGAUGGACGCGCGGCUGAUCAGCUUGUUGGUGGGGUAGUGGCAUACCAAGGCUUUGAAGGGUACCCGGCAGGGGAGGGUGACCGGCCACAUUGCGACUGAGAUACGCCCCAGACUCCUACGGGAGGCAGCAGUGGGGAAUAUUGCACAAUGGGCGGAAGCCUGAUGCAGCAACGCCGCGUUCGGGAUGACGGCCUUCGGGUUGUAAACCGCUUUCGCCUGUGACGAAGCGUGAGUGACGGUAAUGGGUAAAGAAGCACCGGCUAACUACGUG